ACACUGUCUCCUCCACGAGCCCGGUGAAAUUGUAGUAUCGGUGAAGAUGCCGGUUACCCGUCACGGGACGGAAAGACCCCAUGAACCUUCACUACAACUUUGCAUUGAUUUUGAAUUUUUGAUGUGUAGGAUAGUUGGGAGACUUUGAAGCGGUGUCGCUAGGCAUCGUGGAGUCAACGUUGAAAUACCAACCUUUAAACAUUUAGAAUCUAACCCGCCAAUGGUGGGCACAGUGCAUGGUGGGUAGUUUGACUGGGGUGGUCGCCUCCUAAAAUGUAACGGAGGCUUGCAAAGGUUCCCUCAGUACGGUUGGUAAUCGUACAUAGAGCGUAUUAGUAUAAGGGAGCUUGACUGUGAGACUUACAAGUCGAGCAGGGACGAAAGUCGGCUAAAGUGAUCCGGUGGUUCUGUAUGGAAGGGCCAUCGCUCAAAGGAUAAAAGGUACUCUGGGGAUAACAGGCUGAUCUCCCCCAAGAGCUCAUAUCGACGGGGAGGUUUGGCACCUCGAUGUCGGUUCGUCACAUCCUGGGGCUGGAGAAGGUCCCAAGGGUUCGGCUGUUCGCCGAUUAAAGUGGCACGUGAACUGGGUUCAGAACGUCGCAAGACAGUUCGGUCCCUAUCUGUGAUGGGCGUUAGUAAAUUGAGAGGACAUGACCUUAGUACGAGAGGACCGGGUCGUAUGUACCGCUGGUGUAUCUGUUGUGCCGCCAGGUGCAAUGCAGAGUAGCUAUGUACAGGCAGGAUAAACGCUGAAAGCAUCUAAGCGUGAAACCUUCCUCAAGAUGAGUUUACUUUUAAGGGUCGUCGAAGACUACGACGUUGAUAGGCUAUAGGUAUAAAGGUGGUAACAUCAAAGCCGAGUAGUACUAAUUACCCGUUAGCUUUAUUUUU
rnacentral:rRNA from 1 species